GACGAACCGUGCGAACGUUGUUCGGAAUCACUGGGCUUAAAGGGCGCGUAGGCGGUCUGCCAAGUCCGGGGUGAAAGCCCCCAGCUCAACUGGGGAAGUGCCUCGGAUACUGGCGGACUCGAGGGAGGCAGGGGUCGUGGGAACUUCCGGUGGAGCGGUGAAAUGCGUUGAUAUCGGAAGGAACGCCGGUGGCGAAAGCGCACGACUGGUCCUCUUCUGACGCUGAGGCGCGAAAGCCAGGGGAGCAAACGGG
rnacentral:rRNA from 1 species